AGUGAACGCUGGCGGUAGGCCUAACACAUGCAAGUCGAGCGGCAGCACAGGAGAGCUUGCUCUCUGGGUGGCGAGUGGCGGACGGGUGAGGAAUACAUCGGAAUCUACUCUGUCGUGGGGGAUAACGUAGGGAAACUUACGCUAAUACCGCAUACGACCUACGGGUGAAAGCAGGGGAUCUUCGGACCUUGCGCGAUUGAAUGAGCCGAUGUCGGAUUAGCUAGGUGGCGGGGUAAAGGCCCACCAAGGCGACGAUCCGUAGCUGGUCUGAGAGGAUGAUCAGCCACACUGGAACUGAGACACGGUCCAGACUCCUACGGGAGGCAGCAGUGGGGAAUAUUGGACAAUGGGCGCAAGCCUGAUCCAGCCAUACCGCGUGGGUGAAGAAGGCCUUCGGGUUGUAAAGCCCUUAUGUUGGGAAAGAAAUCCAGCUGGCUAAUACCCGGUUGGGAUGACGGUACCCAAAGAAUAAGCACCGGCUAACUUCGUGCCAGCCGCCGCGGUAA
rnacentral:rRNA from 1 species